GCCGCCCUAGCUCAGCGUGGUAGAGCGCCUGACUGUUAAUCAGGGGGUCGUCAGUUCAAGUCUGACGGGCGGCGCCU
rnacentral:tRNA from 2 species